rnacentral:tRNA from 1 species
GGUAGUAUGGCCGAGAUAGGCGGUAAAUUGUAAAUUUACAUACAGGGAAACACCCUUGCUGCCA